rnacentral:lncRNA from 1 species
CAACCACACUUUAAAUUCCCAUGAAUCUUCAAUGGGAUUUCCUAAUCCUUCACUUAGGAUUCACUCUAAUGUCUUCUUAUAUCAAGAUUAGUACAAGUUUAAGCUCCGACCAAAAUGAGCUAAAAACUCUUAUUUUAGCCCCAAUUCCACAAUUGCCAAAUAUUACAAAAAUGCCCUUAAAAAUUUUCCACUCUACUUCGAUCGCCACCUCUUUACCACAUUCACAAAUCACGUAAUCAUGGUAGUCAAACCGCAAUCGCUCUCCCAUUGAAUUAUUGACUGGUCGUGAUCGUGACCCUCAAGCCGCGAUCGUGGUAAUUAAGGGUCGAUUCUUAGGCUUGAUUUCUACAAUUUGGCUCUUUUCUUUCACAUUUAACCUCUUUUUGACUUGAAUGACUUGAUAAUCUUUGUUUUUCACCUUUUCCUAUACAAAUGUUCAUUACGUAAGAUAUUAACAUAAAAUCAAUGGAAAACCAUGAUAUUUUAGGCUUAAAAGGUGUUAGAAAAUCCCCAAAUUGACGACUUAUCACUGGUCAAGUAGAUUGAGACAUGAGAUUGAGAUUUAGGGAAAUUGGAGAUAGUAUACGAGUUUGUAACCACCCAUGGAUCGUAUUUUGGGAGCAUUGACGUUCGAUAGGUGUAUAUAGAAAGUCAUGCGAUAACUUUUCAUUAUUUACCUCAUCAUCCAUAGUACUGCAUUGUAUUUGGACAUCAUGUAUUGUUUUAAUAUAUUACUUGUCAUGUACUUAACUUCUAUAAUUGUAAGUGGAAAUGGUGUGAUCUACUAUUUAGGAACUUUUCUUUUGCAUGUUAUUUUCUCAUAGUAUAUUUUUUACAUGUUUUAUUUUCUACUGUGCUUAGUCUGCCCAUAAUACCUACUGAGUAUAAAUAGACUGUACUCACUCCUACAAUACCCUUUUGGUGCAGAUCCUAGUUUAAGUACCACAUGUGGUGGUUGAUCUUAUUGUAAAAAUUUUGGGUUUUCAAGGUACUAUUUUCUCCAGAUUUCGGUGUUUAUUUGGACCUCAUCUAUAUUUAUUUUUCUUCACGUAUGACUCAGAGACAGAUCGUGUAUUAUUAAAUAUUUAGAUGGUUGUUUAGAUGCUCUACAUUUAUGUCAUCAAAUUUUGGGAUUUAUGAUAUUUCUUUUGGAGUUUCUCUAUAAUUGUACUUGUAUUGGCCUGACUUAGCUUUAGAAGUCUCACUUAACAUGUUUUCACUUAAUGAUUUUGUUUAUUUUUUCCAUUUCGAGAUUACGGCUUACUUAUCAAGGCUGGGCCACAUUGAGUUCCAUCAUCAUCUAGGUUUUUGGGUCAUGAUACAACCCAACUAAUCGGACCAUGCAGGCACCUAGAUAAAAUUAGUUCGGAUGAUCUACAAAACAAAUAUUCGAAAAGUAUCCAUUGAAGAAAAUCUAUCUCCAAGAAAAUAGAUAUAAUUAAAGCAGAUGAAGAAAUAAAAGGUGCUAUUACAACUACAAUAUAAACAAGAGGUUAUUCCAAAAUUAAAUCAAGAUGAAUGCUUUGGUAUGGAAUAUAUGAUUGGUGGAAACACAGAAAGUAUUCACCAGAUUGAUAACUUUACAAAAAAGACAUCACUUUUAUUUUCCAGAACUGAUGGAUCCAUUUCAAGAAAAUCACAAUUACAGGAAUAUAAAAGAAGACUAGGGAUGCAGAAUGUAGUGUCUAAUACAUCAGUAAAAAUUUGGGCAUUUAUGGUUUCAAUUGUAAAUUUCAUGGUUCUCAUGAAUGAAGAGUAGUAGAUCAUCUUGAAGUUAGAAAAUUAAGAUGCAGGAGUGAUAGUAAUUGUCAUUUAAGUAUAUGCAAAAUGUAAACAAGCUAAAUGACUAUCACUAUGGGAAUCUUUAGGAGAGAUUUCACAAUCCAUUCAGGAACCUUGGUUAGUGGUAGGGGAUUUUAAUGUCAUCAUCAAUGAAAAAGAGAAUCUGGGGAGUUUGCCAAUUACUAUAUAUUAAAUAGUGGCUUUAGACACUGCAUAAAUCCAUGUAAUUUAGUAGAUGAUGCAUUCAAGGAAACUAAGUACACAUGGUAGAAUGGAAGAACAGAUGUUAAUUGUAUAUUCAAGAGAUUAGAUAGGGUUCAAUGCAAGUUUUUUUCCAAUAUUAAAGGUUGAGAAUUUGAUCAAAAAUGGUUAAGAUCAUACACCUCCAUUGCUUAACUUUAGUACUAUUAAUGAACAAAUUAUAAAAUCCUUCAAGUUUCUAAAUUUCAAGAUUAAGGAAGAAUCAUGUUUGGAAAUUAUAAGAUAGAACUAGAAAACUGAAGUGUAAACCAAACUUUAUUAUGUUCCAUCACAAGCUGAAAAGGACCAAAAUUGCUUUAAGUCAAUUGCUUAAAGAAAAUUUGGUAAUAUUUUUCAAGAAAUUACAACUUUGAAAGAGGUUAUUAAAGUUAUGGAGAAGCAGUUUGAGGAAGAUCCAUAAGGUGCAAAUAGAGAGAAAAUAUUUAAAGCUCAGAUUAAUAUAAAUUUAUUGAUCAGAAGGGAAGAAGUGUUUUAAAAGCAUAAAGCAUGUUUAGAGUAGUUUAAAUAUGGGGAAAUAAAUAAUAAAAGUUUUUCAUUCAAUUAUUAAAGGGAGAAGAAGAAGGUUGAAGGUGAAGAGAAUCCAAAAUGAAAAGGGUAUUUGGGUAGAAUAUAAAGUUGAGAUUUUUACAAAUGCUAUACAAUUCAUUCAAAAAUAGUUCUGUAAGGAAUAGGAGGGUGAAUAUUUCUUAAUGCUAGAGUAUUUGCAAAGAAUAGUAACUUUAGAGCAUAAUAAGAAGUUGAGUAAAAUCCCUGGCAUUUAGAAGAUUAAAAAAAUAGUUAUGGGGCUAUAUAAACACAGUAUUAGAGGGCCAUAUGGAAUGACAAGGGCUUUCUAGCAGGAGGCAUGAGAUACUAUAGGAGAUGAUGUGUACCAAAUAGUAGUAGCUUUCUUUUAUGGGUUUCACCUUAAAGAUUCAUCAUACAUACUAAUUUGGUUCUACUACAUAAAAUCUUAGUUGUGAACACUUUCUCUGACAUGAGAAAAAAUUUUGUAAGUAAUUUUGUCAAUAAGAUUUUCUCAAGACACGUUCAUGAUAGACUCAAGAAAUUGUUACAUGAGAUUAUUUUAGAAAAACAAAUUGGUUUUGUUUAAAGAACAAACAGUGCAGAGAACAUUCUUGUAGUCCAAGAAAUCGUCUCAUAGAUAAGAAAGAGAGGCAAACUCCCUAAUAUGGCCAUUAAUUUGGAUAUGAUGGAAACUUAUGACAAGGUGUAGUGGUUGUAUCUACCGAAGGUAUUGAGAAAAUUGGGUUUUAAUGAAACAAUCAAUAAUAUGGUGUACAGAUUAGUGGGAAACAAUUGUUAUUCAAUCCUACUGAAUAGGCAACCAGAAGGGUUUUUUAGAUCCUAUAGAGGAUUGAAACAUGUAGAUCCCUUAUCUUCUACCCUCUUUAUACUCACUGCAGAGGUAAUGUCUAGAAAAAGAGUUUAAGAUGUUUAGUAUGCCUAGGGGAAGCCCAAAAAUUAAACAUCUUGCAUUUGCAGAUGAGAAGAUCAUACUAUACAAGGAUAAACUAGGCACAGUAUAAAGAAUCAUAGCAACUUUAUAGAGAUAUGAACUUGUGUUAAGGCAUAAGAUCAAUAAGAAGAAGAAUGAGACAUACUUGCAUAAAUGUGUUUCCCUGGGGUAGUAGUGAUCAUUGAGGUUGCUACAUAUAUUUUAAGAUUUUCCUUUCACUUACUUAGGAUAUUCCACUUUUCACAUAGGGAAGAAGAAAAAUUAUUAUCAAAAUAUUAUGAAUAAAAUAAGCAGUAUACUUCAAGGAUGAAAAGAAAAGAUAUCAUAUAUAGAGAGAUAUACUUAUCAAACAUGUACUGUAAAGUAUACCCAAUCAUUGUCUAUCAGUGAUAAAUCCACCUGUUAAUGUGUUGACUACUAUUUAGCUAAUACUAGCUCAAGUUUUCUAGAACAGUCAUAUAGGAGCAAUAGGUAGAAAUGGUCAAGCUAGAAAAGCUUAUGUUUUCCAGAGAACGAAGGUGGGCCAUUGAUUUAUUUUGCAAACUGUAAUGGAAAUUUAUAACUAAGAAGUUGAUUUGGAGCACUUAUAUGCAUAGUAAGUACUGCAAAAAAGAGAAUCCUAAUAUAGUAAUAUGGAAAACUGGUUCAGGAUCAUAGGAGUGGAAGACGAUGUUAUUGUCCAGGGACCUAGUAGAACAACAAAUCUUAUGGCAAACAAGGAAAGGAAAUUCUAGUCUAUGGUUUGAUAAUUUGAUAGUUAUACGUGAUUUAUACAACAAUAUUUAGGUUAGCAAAGAUUGGGAUGACCAAUAUGAAUAUGUGAGAAAUUGGUUAUUAAAUAGGACUUGGAAUGAGCACCUGAUUAACGAAAUAUUUCCAGAAGAAGUUGUUAAACAUAUCCUGGGCAAAAUUAGAUCUCUAGUCUUAAUAGGACAGAGUGAUAGACUAGAUGGAUACUUGAGGCUAAUGGAAAUUUCACUGUGAGAUCAGUAUAGUAAUACAUUAGACAAAAGGGGCAAAGUAGUAGAACAUUUAAGGAGACUUGGAUAGAAAGGUUACCCUUUAAAAUGGCCUUAUUCAUGUGGAGGAUAUGGAAAAGAAAAGUACCUAUGGAUGAUAAUAUAAGAAAAUGGAGAUAUGAGGGGCCAUCCAGAUGCUGAUGUUGUGUGAAUAUAGCAUAAGAAACCAUACCAGAUGUGUUUCUAUGAUCAGACAUUGCUAUCAGGACAUAGACCUAUUUUUCUUCUUUUGCAAGUAUAAAUAUAAACAGUCUGAGCUUGAGGUAAACCAUUAUGGAAUAGUGGAAUGCAGAUGUUAGGCAGAGGCAAAAAGCUUAUUUUCAAGCUAUCCCUAGUAUGAUCUUUGUGGAACUAUAAAAGAGGAACAACCACAAAACAUAAAGGAAAGAGUAUCUUAUCACAGAGGGUUAUAUACAAUAUAACCAGGAAUCUUGGUAUUCUAUUGAAAGUUGGAAAACUAGCACAAGAAUUUCUAUAUGCAUGGCCAUAUAUUCUUAAGGAAUUUAAUAAAAAUAGGUCAAGAGUGAAGGUUAACUAAGUUACUUGGGAAUUCCCAUGAGAAGAUUGGAUAAAAUAUAACUUUGAUGAAGCUUCUAGGGGAAAUUCGGGAGUUAGCUUAUAUGUAUUUUGCCUAAGGAAUGAGAAAGGAGUCUAAUAUAUGCAGGAGGGGAUAGCAUAGAGAAUACAACAAAUGUAGAAGAAAAGGCAAUAGCUAUCUUUUUGGAAAACACACAUUGCAGUCACUCAUAGCAUAACAAAGUCAUCAUUCAGAUAUACUCUAUAACUUUGCAGAAAAAUUUAAUUAGAGAAUGGGCCUAUCCAUGGAUUAUAUAUGAUAUAGUAUAGUAGAUAUGGAAUUUAAUGGGAAAUAAACAAGUACAGUAACAAAACAGUCUCAGAGAAGGGAACCAAUUAGUUAAUCAUCUGGCUAAUUUUUUAAUUAAUAAGGGGAAUUUGGCAUUCACAGGCUUUCAGUGGCUAGAAUUUAGAUGUAGGAGGAUAAUUAAUAGUGACUAAUAACAAUGCCCAUACUUAAGUUUUUUACUAGAAAAAGGGUGAGGGGGAUAGAUAGGCUAAAGCUUAAUUUGUUCACAUGCAAAUAUAUACAAGCCAUGUAGGCAACAAAAAGAGUGAAACAACUAAUUAGCAUAUAGUACAAUAGCUAACAAAAAGGACUCCCAACAAAAAAGGAGGGUAACUUGUCAUAUUGAAAUUGAUAAACCUGAAGGUCAUAUUACUCUAAAUAUUUGUGGUUUCAAGCAUCUCAUUAUCUCUAUAACAGCCAUAUCUGAAAGAUGGGAAAGAUUAGAAAGACAAAUGGGUUCUUACUAAACAUCGACAGAGGGGAAAUUUCAUUCUGACUCUGAAGAAGUGAUAGUAUUCAGCUGACAGAAACCCUCAACACUGAAAAGAAGGAAGAUAUCGAUCCCAUCCACCGGAUAGCACAACUAAAUCAUAUUGUAAAGUAUGAAAAUAAGCUCAAAAUAAAGAUUUAAUCAAAGCAAAGAGAAAGUGAUCAAUACUUACUUUUGCAAGCAAAGAUAUUCAUGAAGAAGAAACAACUAGAGCACAGUGUUUUUCAUCCAGCACUAGAGCAAGAAGAAGCGUAGUUGAAUAGUGGAAACAUAGAUCAGAUGUUGUAGGGCUGAAGAUGAAAGGAAGAGUAGAUACUGAUUUUGGAAACCCUACUUUUACUCUUAUAUGUAAUAGAAUAGUGGGUUGGGUCUGGUCGAAUGUUAG